AGAACGAACGCUGGCGGCAUGCCUAAUACAUGCAAGUCGAACGAAGGCUUCGGCCUUAGUGGCGCACGGGUGCGUAACGCGUGGGAAUCUGCCCCUUGGUUCGGAAUAACAGUUGGAAACGACUGCUAAUACCGGAUGAUGACGAAAGUCCAAAGAUUUAUCGCCAAGGGAUGAGCCCGCGUAGGAUUAGCUAGUUGGUGAGGUAAAGGCUCACCAAGGCGACGAUCCUUAGCUGGUCUGAGAGGAUGAUCAGCCACACUGGGACUGAGACACGGCCCAGACUCCUACGGGAGGCAGCAGUAGGGAAUAUUGGACAAU
rnacentral:rRNA from 1 species